UUAGCUCGUUUUUAAUCCUCCUUUUUUAAAACUAUUUAACACAUCUGAAUGAUUCUGCCUCAGAGGUUGGGAGGCUCUGGUUGUAUAGGGGUUUAAUAUGAUUCUGCCUCAGAGGCUGGGAGGCUCUGGUUGUAUAGGGGUUUAAUAUGAUUCUGUCUCAGAGGCUGGGAGGCUCUGGUUGUAUAGGGGUUUAAUAUGAUUCUGUCUCAGAGGCUGGGAGGCUCUGGUUGUAUAGGGGUUUAAUAUGAUUCUGUCUCAGAGGCUGGGAGGCUCUGGUUGUAUAGGGGUUUAAUAUGAUUCUGUCUCAGAGGCUGGGAGGCUCUGGUUGUAUAGGGGUUUAAUAUGAUUCUGUCUCAGAGGCUGGGAGGCUCUGGUUGUAUAGGGGUUUAAUAUGAUUCUGUCUCAGAGGCUGGGAGGCUCUGGUUGUAUAGGGGUUUAAUAUGAUUCUGUCUCAGAGGCUGGGAGGCUCUGGUUGUAUAGGGGUUUAAUAUGAUUCUGUCUCAGAGGCUGGGAGGCUCUGGUUGUAUAGGGGUUUAAUAUGAUUCUGUCUCAGAGGCUGGGAGGCUCUGGUUGUAUAGGGGUUUAAUAUGAUUCUGUCUCAGAGGCUGGGAGGCUCUGGUUGUAUAGGGGUUUAAUAUGAUUCUGUCUCAGAGGCUGGGAGGCUCUGGUUGUAUAGGGGUUUAAUAUGAUUCUGUCUCAGAGGCUGGGAGGCUCUGGUUGUAUAGGGGUUUAAUAUGAUUCUGUCUCAGAGGCUGGGAGGCUCUGGUUGUAUAGGGGUUUAAUAUGAUUCUGUCUCAGAGGCUGGGAGGCUCUGGUUGUAUAGGGGUUUAAUAUGAUUCUGUCUCAGAGGCUGGGAGGCUCUGGUUGUAUAG